rnacentral:lncRNA from 1 species
AUUAUGUCUAGGCAAAUGGAAAAUUUUCCAUUCGUUUGCCAUUCGCAGCGCCUGGGUGACGUCAACAAGAUUAUGAAGCAACUAUAAAGGAGGGCCCGUCGGCUUUUUAGAGGGAAACGUAACAAUGCUGUCAAUAAGUGCGAGUGAACAGGGCGUGCAGAGACAGAGAGAGAGAGAGAGCAACUGUCAGCAAUAAUAAGAGUACAAGCUGCUCAUUAUUGCGUCCCACCACAGUCAUGGCACUGAGCUGUAAGUGUGACUGAAACGACACUGGAGUAUGCUUGAAAAACAAACUUGUCCGCGC